rnacentral:rRNA from 1 species
AGUCAUAUGCUUGUCUCAAAGAUUAAGCCAUGCAUGUCUAAGUACACGCCUUUACACGGCAAAACUGCGAAUGGCUCAUUAAAUCAGUUAUGGUUCCUUAGAUCGUACAAUCCUACUUGGAUAACUGUGGCAAUUCUAGAGCUAAUACAUGCAACACAGCUCCGACCUUACGGGAAGAGCGCUUUUGUUAGCCCAAAACCAAUCCGGUCCUCGUGGCCGGUCCUACAUGGUGACUCUGAACAACUUUGUGCCGAUCGUAUGCCCUAGCGGCGACGACGUGUCUUUCAAAUGUCUGCCCUAUCAACUGUCGAUGGUACGUGCUAUGCCUACCAUGGUGAUAACGGGUAACGGGGAAUCAGGGUUCGAUUCCGGAGAGGGAGCAUGAGAUACGGCUACCACAUCCAAGGAAGGCAGCAGGCGCGCAAAUUACCCACUCCCGACACGGGGAGGUAGUGACGAAAAAUAACAAUACGGGACUCUUUCGAGGCCCCGUAAUUGGAAUGAGUACACUUUAAAUCCUUUAACGAGGAUCCAU